rnacentral:rRNA from 1 species
GACGAACGCUGGCGGCGUGCUUAACACAUGCAAGUCGAGCGGAAAGGCCACUUCGGUGGUACUCGAGCGGCGAACGGGUGAGUAACACGUGAGUAAUCUGCCCCUGGCUUUGGGAUAGCCACCGGAAACGGUGAUUAAUACCGGAUACGACCACUUCUCGCAUGGGAUGGUGGUGGAAAGUUUUUUCGGCCAGGGAUGUGCUCGCGGCCUAUCCGCUUGAUGGUGAGGUAAUGGCUCACCAUGGCUUCGACGGGUAGCCGGCCUGAGGGGGUGACCGGUCACACUGGGACUGGGACACGGCCCAGACUCCUACGGGAGGCAGCAGUGGGGAAUAUUGGACAAUGGGCGGAAGCCUGAUCCAGCAACGCCGCGUGAGGGAUGACGGCCUUCGGGUUGUAAACCUCUUUCAGCAGGGACGAAGCGCAAGUGACGGUACCUGCAGAAGAAGCACCGGCCAACUACGUGCCAGCAGCAGCCGCAG